rnacentral:ncRNA from 1 species
GACUGCCGUCGUAAGAUGUGAGGAAGGUGGGGAUGACGUCAAAUCAGCACGGCCCUUACGUCCGGGGCUACACACGUGUUACAAUGGGGGGUACAGAAGGCAGCUACACGGCGACGUGGUGCUAAUCCCAAAAGCCUCUCUCAGUUCGGAUUGGAGUCUGCAACCCGACUCCAUGAAGCUGGAUUCGCUAGUAAUCGCGCAUCAGCCACGGCGCGGUGAAUACGUUCCCGGGCCUUGUACACACCG